CCGGCCCGGACACUGGGAAGAUUGACAGAUUGAGAGCUUUCUUGAUUCGGUGAAUGGUGGAGCAUAGCCGUUCUUAGUUGGUGGAGCGAUUUGUCUGGUUAAUUCCGAUAGCGAACGAGAGUCCAGCCUAUUAAAUACGUCCGUGGUUCUCUGCAGCUUGCACCCUUCUUUGAUGGGCAAGCGGCUCCUCGUCGCACGAAGCAGAGCAGUAACAGGCCUGUGAGGCCCUUAGGUGUCCGG
rnacentral:rRNA from 1 species